rnacentral:rRNA from 1 species
CGGGUGCACUGAUCCGGCCGGGCCUUUCCCUCUGUGGAACCCCAUGGCCUUCACUGGCUGUGCGAGGGAAACAGGACUUUUACUGUGAAAAAAUUAGAGUGCUCCAGGCAGGCCUAUGCUCGAAUACAUUAGCAUGGAAUAAUAGAAUAGGACGCGUGGUUCUAUUUUGUUGGUUUCUAGGACCGCCGUAAUGAUUAAUAGGGACAGUCGGGGGCAUCAGUAUUCAAUUGUCAGAGGUGAAAUUCUUGGAUCUAUUGAAGACUAACUACUGCGAAAGCAUUUGCCAAGGAUGUUUUCAUUGAUAAGGAACGAAAGUUAGGGGAUCGAAGACGAUCAGAUACCGUCGUAGUCUUAACUAUAAACUAUGCCGACUAGGGAUCGGACGAUGUUAUUUCUUGACGCGUUCGGCACCUUUCGAGAAAUCAAAGUGCUUGGGCUCCAGGGGGAGUAUGGUCGCAAGGCUGAAACUUAAAGAAAUUGACGGAAGGGCACCACCAGGGGUGGAACCUGCGGCUUAAUUUGACUCAACACGGGGAAACUCACCAGGUCCAGACACAGUGAGGAUUGACAGAUUGAGAGCUCUUUCUUGAUUCUGUGGGUGGUGGUGCAUGGCCGUUCUUAGUUGGUGGAGUGAUUUGUCUGCUUAAUUGCGAUAACGAACGAGACCUUAACCUGCUAAAUAGCCCGUACUGCUCUGGCAGUUCGCCGGCUUCUUAGAGGGACUAUCGG